rfam:Oryza punctata chromosome 11, whole genome shotgun sequence.
GGAUGCGAUCAUACCAGCACUAAAGCACCGGAUCCCAUCAGAACUUCGAAGUUAAGUGUGCUUGGGCGAGAGUAGUACUAGGAUGUGUGACCUCCUGGGAUGUCCUCGUGUUGCAUCCU